rnacentral:rRNA from 1 species
AACGAACGCUGGCGGCAGGCCUAACACAUGCAAGUCGAGCGCCCUUUCGGGGGAGCGGCGGACGGGUGAGUAACGCGUGGGAAUAUGCCCUUCUCUACGGAAUAGCCUCGGGAAACUGGGAGUAAUACCGUAUACGCCCUACGGGGGAAAGAUUUAUCGGGGAAGGAUUAGCCCGCGUUGGAUUAGGUAGUUGGUGGGGUAAUGGCCUACCAAGCCGACGAUCCAUAGCUGGUUUGAGAGGAUGAUCAGCCACACUGGGACUGAGACACGGCCCAGACUCCUACGGGAGGCAGCAGUGGGGAAUCUUAGACAAUGGGGGCAACCCUGAUCUAGCCAUGCCGCGUGAGUGAUGAAGGCCUUAGGGUUGUAAAGCUCUUUCAGCUGGGAAGAUAAUGACGUACCAGCAGAAGAGC